CCAGACUCCUACGGGAGGCAGCAGUGGGGAAUAUUGCACAAUGGGGGAAACCCUGAUGCAGCGACGCCGCGUGAGGGAUGACGGCCUUCGGGUUGUAAACCUCUUUCAGUAGGGAAGAAGCCUUCGGGUGACGGUACCUGCAGAAGAAGUACCGGCUAACUACGUGCCAGCAGCCGCGGUAAUACGUAGGGUACAAGCGUUGUCCGGAAUUAUUGGGCGUAAAGAGCUCGUAGGCGGUUCGUCGCGUCUGCUGUGGAAACGCAAGGCUCAACCUUGCGCGUGCAGUGGGUACGGGCGGACUAGAGUGCAGUAGGGGAGUCUGGAAUUCCUGGUGUAGCGGUGAAAUGCGCAGAUAUCAGGAGGAACACCGGUGGCGAAGGCGGGACUCUGGGCUGUAACUGACGCUGAGGAGCGAAAGCAUGGGGAGCGAACAGGAUUAGAUACCCUGGUAGUCCAUGCCGUAAACGUUGGGCACUAGGUGUGGGGCUCAUUCCACGAGUUCCGCGCCGCAGCUAACGCAUUAAGUGCCCCGCCUGGGGAGUACGGCCGCAAGGCUAAAACUCAAAGGAAUUGACGGGGGCCCGCACAAGCGGCGGAGCAUGCGGAUUAAUUCGAUGCAACGCGAAGAACCUUACCAAGGCUUGACAUACACUGGAAUGUGCCAGAGAUGGUUCAGCCCUUUUGGGCUGGUGUACAGGUGGUGCAUGGUUGUCGUCAGCUCGUGUCGUGAGAUGUUGGGUUAAGUCCCGCAACGAGCGCAACCCUCGUUCUAUGUUGCCAGCGCGUGAUGGUGGGAACUCAUAGGAGACUGCCGGGGUCAACUCGGAGGAAGGUGGGGAUGACGUCAAAUCAUCAUGCCCUUUAUGUCUUGGG
rnacentral:rRNA from 1 species